AAUGUGUAUAAGAGACAGGUGAAUCAUCGAAUCUUUGAACGCACAUUGCGCCCGGUGGUAUUCCGCCGGGCAUGCCUGUUCGAGCGUCAUUUAAACCAAUCCAGCCUCGUGCUUGGGUCUUGGGCCUUUCGCCUCUGGGCGGGCCUUAAAAUCAGUGGCGGUGCCAUUUGGCUCUAAGCGUAGUAAUACUCCUCGCUAUAGACGUCUGGUGGUGUCUUGCCAACAACCCCCAAUUUUUACAGGUUGACCUCGGAUCAGGUAGGGAUACCCGCUGAACUUAAGCAUAUCAAUAAGCGGAGG
rnacentral:misc_RNA from 1 species